UACGGAGGGGGCUAGCGUUGUUCGGAAUUACUGGGCGUAAAGGGCUCGUAGGUGGCCAACUAAGUCAGACGUGAAAUCCCUCGGCUUAACCGGGGAACUGCGUCUGAUACUGGAUGGCUUGAGUUCGGGGAGAGGGAUGCGGGAAUUCCAGGUGUAGCGGUGAAAUGCGUAGAUAUCUGGAGGAACACCGGUGGCGAAGGCGGCAUCCUGGACCGACACUGACACUGAGGAGC
rnacentral:rRNA from 1 species